GCGCAGUGGCGUCGGGAAGCACCACCGCGCCGCCUCCGUUCUACUCCUACCCCGUCGUCGGUCAGUGCCGGUGGAGGCCCGAAGGACGACGUGAUCUACAUCGGCGCAGCACCUACACUCACGCCAUGGACGUCUCCGGAUCUGCUCCUUCCGCCAACGACGACCAAGCGCUGAAUGCGAUGCACUUCAUUAGUGCAAUUCCAAAGCUGACGGGACAGAACUAUGUUCUGUGGCGCGAGGAACUUGAUGCUGCUCUAGCACUUGCUGAGAUAGAUUUGGCUCUUCAGGAGCCAAAGCCCACUGAGCCAGAGGAGCCCGAAAGGGCUCAGAAUGAGACCGAUGAAGCUUUUGCUAAUCGGAAGCGAGACUUUGCUCCCAUCAGAGCAAAGUAUGAUCUUGAGAAGUACAAGUGGGAAAAGUCAAACCGCAAGUGCAAGAUUGUCAUCAAGAAAACCAUCACAGAGGGCCUAAGAGGUGCCAUCCCAGAAUGUGAGACAGCAAAAGAAUACCUUGAGAAAGUGAAGAAUCAGUUUACUGGUUCCACCAAAGCCCAUGCUUCCACCCUGAUCCAAAAACUCACUAACAUGAGGUUCACAGGGGGGAGUGUGAGAGAGCACAUUCUGAGCAUGAGCACCAUGGCAGCCAAGUUAGAGAAGCUAAAGAUGCCCCUUGCUGAUGGUUUCCUCAUUCACCUAGCUCUAAACUCACUUCCUAAAGAGUAUGAGACAUUUGUUGUUAACUACAACACACAGCCAGAGGAGUGGGAUUUAGAGAAGGUGAUUGCUAUGUGUGUGCAAGAGGAAGAAAGGCUCAAGAAUGCAAAUGGUGGUUCUGUGAACUUUGUGAAAGGAAAGAACAAGAAGCCAUUCUACAACAAGAAAGCUCCAGAUGCCUCCACCUCCCAGAACAAGGGAGGAAGCACUUCACAGCCUAAAGCACACCCAAAGCAAGACAACCAGCACAGGCAGGAGGACCCGGAUCGCUGUAGAUGGUGUAAUGAGACAGGGCAUUGGAAGCAUGACUGCCCUAAGUUCAUGAAACAUUGCCUAGUGAAAGGUGAGGACAUUAUAACUUUUGUUGAUGAAUCCUUAUAUCUAAGUUAUGCUAGAUCCACAUGGUGGAUUGACUCAGGUGCAACUGUUCAUGUUGCAAACUCUUUGCAGGGAUUCAGUGGAGGGAGAACCCUUCAAAGAGGAGAAAGACAGAUUAAGGUGGCCACUGGUGUUGAAGCUGAAGUUCAAGCUAUAGGAAAUUUAUCUCUAGAUUUAGCUAGUGGUUUCACCCUUGAGUUGCAUGAUGUUCUUUAUGUUCCCUCUUUAGCUAGAAAUUUAAUUUCAGUUUCAUGUUUGUCAGACUAUGGUUUUGAUUGCCAUUUCAGCAAGAAUGAUUGUAAGCUACAGUUAAAUAAUAAAUGUGUGGGUCUUGCCUUCCGACAAGACAAACUUUAUUUAUUAUCUUUGUCUGAGAAUGUGAAUGCUGAAUGUAAUAAUGCUGAGAAUGCAAUACCCGCAGAUGCUAGCAAGAAAAGAAAGAGAAUUGAUUCCUCAUCGAAAUUAUGGCACUGUCGUUUAGGCCAUAUUUCGAGGGGGAGAAUAGAACGCUUAGUCAAAGAAUCAAUCCUCCCACCAUUAGAACUCUCAGAGUUAGAGCAAUGCGUUGAUUGCAUUAAAGGCAAGUUAGUAAAGAACAUAAAGAAAGGCGCUAAGCGAAGCAUGGGAGUACUAGAAUUGAUCCACACAGACAUCUGUGGACCUUUUCCAGUGACAUCUGUGGAUGGUUUUGAUUCCUUCAUCACAUUCACAGAUGACUACUCUCGUUUUGGAUACAUCUAUCCAAUCAAAGAACGCUCAGAAGCUUUAGACAAAUUUAAGAUAUUCAAGGCUGAGGUUGAAAACCAACUAGACAGAAAAAUCAAAGUAGUAAGAUCUGACCGUGGGGGGGAGUACUACGGUCGACAUACCCCUUAUGGACAAGUUCCUGGACCUUUUGCAAGGUUCUUACAGGAAAAUGGCAUAGUAGCUCAGUAUUCAAUGCCAGGGGACCCACAGCAGAAUGGAGUAGCAGAAAGGCGUAACCGUACUCUAAUGGAUAUGGUGCGCAGCAUGAUGAGCUAUUCCACUCUGCCACUGAGUUUGUGGAUGGAGGCCUUAAAAACCGCCAUUCAUAUUCUCAACAGAGUUCCAAGCAAGUCAGUACUUAGAACCCCGUAUGAGUUGUGGACCGGCAGGAAACCCUCAGUCAACCAUCUGCGUGUCUGGGGGAGCCCCGCUGAAGCAAAAGUGUUUAACCCAAACAUAGGAAAGCUAGACCCCAAAACAGUAAGUUGUCAUUUCAUUGGCUAUCCAGAAAAGUCGAAAGGUUAUCGUUUCUACUGCCCUGGUAGACAUACCAAGUUUGUGGAAACGAGACACGCUAGUUUUCUAGAAGAUCAGAUGAUCAGGGGGAGCAAGGCAGCGCGAGAAAUUAACCUUGAAGAGAAGCGGGUGUUCGUGCCCAUUCCUAUGGUGCAAGAACCCUACUUUACGCUGCCUGUUGUUGUUGGAUCUACACCAGUAGUGACAACACCUGCUGCUUUUUCGCCUAUGGCCAAUUUGGAACCUGUCCCUCAGGAGCCGAAUGAACCCAUAGUCGAAGAACAACAGCCCCAACAAGAGCAACCUCAAGAAGAAAUGCCAGUAGCAGAAACUUCUGGCAGACCUCAAAGAGCGAGAAAGUCUCCUAUUCCAGAUGACUAUAUAGUCUAUGAAUGCGAAGAAGUUCAGAUGGAGGAUGAACCCACUUCAUUUGAAGAAGCCAUGAGGAGCACCGAAGCAUCUAAGUGGCAAGAAGCCAUGGAAGAUGAAUUAAAGUCUAUGAGUACCAAUAAAGUUUGGGACCUAGAGAAAAUUCCUGAAGGAGCCAAAACAGUAGGCUGCAAAUGGGUCUACAAGGUGAAACGUGACUCCAAAGGGAACAUAGAAAGGUACAAAGCAAGACUGGUAGCCAAGGGUUUUACUCAGCGAGAAGGGAUAGAUUAUAAUGAAACAUUCUCUCCCGUCUCGAGCAAGGACUCUUUUAGAAUCAUAAUGGCCCUAGUGGCACAUUUUGAUCUAGAAUUGCAUCAAAUGGAUGUGAAGACAGCUUUCCUCAAUGGGGAUCUAGAAGAAAGAGUAUACAUGGCACAACCGAAAGGUUUUGUUGUGACAGGCAAAGAAAGAAUGGGCUGUCGCCUGAAGAAAUCCAUUUAUGGAUUAAAGCAAGCAUCCAGGCAGUGGUAUCUAAAGUUUGAUAAGACAAUCAGAAAGUUUGGGUUUACAGAGAACGUUGAGGACAAUUGCGUAUAUGCAAAGUUUAAGAAUGGGAAAUACAUUUUCCUAGUACUGUAUGUAGAUGACAUUCUACUAGCCAGUAGUGAUGUCACUCUACUGCAGGAAACCAAGAGAUUUUUGUCCUCAAAUUUCGAUAUGAAAGACUUAGGUGAAGCUUCUUUUGUCUUGGGCAUAAAGAUUCACCGAGAUAGAAGUCGAGGGGUAUUGGGAUUGUCCCAAGAGGCAUAUAUAGAGAAAAUAUUGAAGAAAUUCAAUAUGCAUAAGUGUAGACCUUCACCUGCUCCUAUUGUAAAAGGUGACAAGUAUGGGGAACAUCAAUGUCCCAAGAGCAAGUUCGAGCGCGAUCGCAUGCAAGCCGUUCCAUACGCUUCAGCUGUCGGAAGCUUACAGUAUGCUCAAGUGUGCACACGCCCAGACCUGGCCUUUGUGACCGGGUUACUUGGUAGAUAUCAAAGUAAUCCAGGUAUGGAACACUGGAAUCUAGUAAAGAAAGUCUUAAGGUACUUGCAAGGCACGAAAGGGCUCAUGUUAACCUAUAGAAGAUCUGAUGACCUACAAAUAGUAGGGUAUUCAGAUUCUGAUUACGCGGGAGAUGAUAGAAAGUCUACCUCAGGGUAUGUAUUCACUCUCGCGCAAGGAGCCAUAUCAUGGAAGAGCUCAAAACAAACAAUAGUCACUGCAUCGUCCACAAUGUAUGCUGAGUUUAUUGCUUGUUAUGAGGCAUCAGGACAGGUGAAUUGGCUUAAGAAAUUUAUACCCAGUUUAAAGGUGGUCGACAGCAUCGAUAAACCACUAAAGUUGUAUUGUGACAACGAGCCAGCAGUGUUGUAUGCUCACAACAAUAAGUCAAGCAAUGCAGCCAAGCACAUUGACAUAAAAUAUUAUGUUGUCAAGGAUAAAAUCCGGGAUCACGUCAUAAGUCUUGAACAUAUAAGCACAGAAAAGAUGCUAGCGGAUCCGCUUACCAAAGGCUUACCGCCCAAUGUGUUCAGAGAACAUGUAGCCGGCAUGGGUUUAAGGGAAAGCCUGUGAUUCCUGGAUAGUAAGGGGCCCAAGGCGAGAAUUCAUCUCUAAAUAGAAAAGUGUUUGUGGCUGUCUAAUCUAGCAGUGAUAACUGUCAAGAUGAAGCAUGCUCAAUACACUGAUUUGUGAUGGGGUGAGUUGACAAAGCGAGAUAGCACAGUUGAGAUCAAGGGGGAGAAUGUUAGGUUGAUCUCAGGCCCAGCCCAACGGCUGGGGCCUCUUACCCCCUGGAUCGCGCCCUGAUCGGGGGCGCCCAACCGAUCCAUGGUUGGUGGGCCCCCGACGCGCUGCGCUAUAUAAACAGGAGUGGGGGCCGCAGGCACGUUUGACGAAGUUCGCCGUGCACACAACCCCACUCGACAAAACCCUAGGCCUUCCGAUCGGCAGUGCGCAGUGGCGUCGGGAAGCACCACCGCGCCGCCUCCGUUCUACUCCUACCCCGUCGUCGGUCAGUGCCGGUGGAGGCCCGAAGGACGACGUGAUCUACAUCGGCGCAGCACCUACACUCACGCCAUGGACGUCUCCGGAUCUGCUCCUUCCGCCAACGACGGUCGAAACCCUAAACUAUUGAUUUAUAUGUUUCUACUAAAUUGUAAUAGAUCUAGUGUAUGCACAUAUAUAUAAAUGUCACUGUAUGCAUAGUUUUAUCCCGAAACCCCGUUCAUCCUAUUGCUAGUAGAUCCUGUAGAUCCAUCAAUAGGACCAAACGAAACGAAC
rnacentral:lncRNA from 1 species